rnacentral:lncRNA from 1 species
GACCAUUUCUUUCUCUCGAUUGCCCCCUCUCUCUUUCCAUAAAUCCCUAUUUUUAUUUCCUUUAAAUAUUUCUUUUCCCUAUCCUAUUUUAAGUAUUGAAACUCCCAAACACCGCUACCCUUUCCGAUUGAUCUGAGUCCCAUAACGCAUGUCAAGGCUCUGCCCGACUAAGUUCGUUUGGAUUCUGUCUCGGGACUUUGGGACAAGGUUAAAUUAGGGGUACUAUACUUAACACGAGUAUAUUAUAUAUAUAUUUUUAGCCCAAAGGUUAUACCCAAAAUUUAUACCAGGAGUCCUUCUAAUUGAACCCUAAAGUUACACAGUGGGUCCAUUCCUUUUCUCACCAUUUUAUUCUCUUUCUGGUAAGUUACCCAAACUAUUAUUUAUUAUUUAUUAUUUAUUAUUUCUAUUUUGUAACCAAACUUUCAUCAAAAGUCAUGCCUAUUAUUUUAUUUACCCAAUAGGGAACCAUAGUUGAGACACCCAAGUAAACCUGCACAAAUCCUAAAAUUUUCAUAACAAUCAGAAUCAGGAUCAGAGCCCCUAAAACUCAAGGGGGGCAAAACCCUAGUUACGAUUAUCUUCAUAACUGAUUAUAAAAUUCGAAAAUUUAAAAUCUGUCGACACAGCAAGCCUACAUGCACGAAGGGCUACCCUAUGAAAAUAGGUUGAUCACUCGCGUAGCGCGACGACUAAGGGGUACCCCCUCGCGCUACGCGACGGUGUCAAAAUUUCAGUAUAAAUAGCAGGGGUUGGGACUUGAAUUUUGGCAUUUGAACGACGAAAAUCGGAGUUACGUAAGUCAAGUUAUAAGCAAAACAGUCCAACACACACACACAAUUAUCGAAUCGCUGCCGCAAAACAGGGUAAUUAGUCGAUCGCUAUUACGAUUCAGUUUCCGGGAUCAAUAUACCCAAAGAAUGUCUAAGUGCCGCCCACAUUGGGCUAUGCUUUAUCGUUGUCGAUAAUUCGAUAAUGAGCCGAAGCAUUGUACUUUGUCGUUGUCGAUAAUUCGAUAUACGAGUUGAAGUACUAUACUUUAUCGUUUGUCAUUUUAAAUGAGCCGAAGUAUUGCACCUGGACAUUCAUUGUAAAAAAUUGAUCUCGGGGAAUUAUCGUAACUGCUGUAUUGAUCAUUAACCUGGUUCUUGUAAAAUUCGUUAAGAGUUGAUUUAGGUUUUUCACCAAUACGUAUUCCAUUUCUGUUAAACUACCAAGAAUACUCCCAACUACACCCUUACAAUCAAACAAACUAUAAAAUCAUCAGAAGAUCCAGAAUAAUAAAGUGCAUGCUUAAUUAUCGGAAGAAGUAGAAUCAGGAAGUUUGUUAACUCAAUCCUGCAUGCUGAUUGUAAUUACAAUAGAUUGGAGCAAGGAUUGGAUCCAACACUGAAGGACUUCAAGAAGUGGCUUAUUUUAUUAAUUAAAUCAAAUUAAGAAAUAUUGUUUUAUUAAAAGCUACCUUUGUAAAACUUGGAAUUUAUUCCAUCCAUUUGAAUAAAAUCCGGUGU